UACGGAGGGUGCAAGCGUUAUCCGGAUUCACUGGGUUUAAAGGGUGCGUAGGUGGACUGGUAAGUCCGUGGUGAAAUCCCCAAGCUUAACUUGGGAACUGCCGUGGAUACUAUCAGUCUUGAAUACUGUGGAGGUAAGCGGAAUAUGUCAUGUAGCGGUGAAAUGCUUAGAUAUGACAUAGAACACCGAUAGCGAAGGCAGCUUGCUACACAGUCAUUGACACUGAGGCACGAAAGCGUGGGAGCAAACAGG
rnacentral:rRNA from 1 species